rnacentral:misc_RNA from 1 species
CCCUUAGCACCUUCCAGCAGAUGUGGAUUGCAAAGGCAGAGUAUGAUGAGUCUGGGCCAUCAAUUGUCCACAGGAAGUGCUUUUAAUCAUGCAAAGCUAAAGGCUAAAGGCGAGACACAUACUACACUUAAUUAUGUUUUUUGUUGCAAAAGGCUUCCAAUCAAGUGGUUGAAAAAUUUUCUUCUCCCUAUUUUAUUUCCAUAUUUUGAUUUAUUAUUCUUAUUCUUAUUUUUUUUUUCUGUUUCUGUUUCUGUUAA